GGAAUCUUCGGCAAUGGACGAAAGUCUGACCGAGCAACGCUGCGUGAGUGAAGAAGGUUUUCGGAUCGUAAAACUCUGUUGGUAGAGAAGAACGUUGGUGAGAGUGGAAAGCUCAUCAAGUGACGGUAACUACCCAGAAAGGGACGGCUAACUACGUGCCAG
rnacentral:rRNA from 1 species